rnacentral:misc_RNA from 1 species
GAAGAAGGUUAGAUUUCAAGAAUUUCUCAGUUUCUUUGAAAGUCCUUUCCAUUUUUAAGCAGUAACUACCACUGAAAUUAAUGACUGAUUGGUUCUGUUUUGUGAAUGAUGAACCAAAUUUUCUUACUUAUCCAGUGAAAAAUCCCACCUUUCCAUUUGUACCUUAUCCAAUUAUCCAGUUGAGUAAAUUAUGUAAUCGCACACUGCACUUGUCUUUUGUUUGAAAUCAGUGGCCAGUUAAUCAGUAUAUCUUUAACCAAUUAAGGUUCUGUGACUAUCAGUUGAGGCCACCCAACUGACAUAGUUCUUCCCUGCAACGAAAACGCAGAAGAAAUAGUCCAUUAGAUUACUUAUCAUUUCUUUGAAAUGUAAAAUGUAAAUGAGACCUUCCUUGUGAAAGAUGAUAAGCAGUUUCUGUGGGAAAUUUCGGUUCAAUGUUUUGUUUGUAAUGUCAAUAAUGCUUAGUUGUGAU